rnacentral:rRNA from 1 species
GGCUACAGCCAGAGCACCCCAAAUGCACCUAGUCUGAUCGAAUCUCAGAAGGUAAACAGGGUUGCACCUGGUUAUUACUGGAAUGGAAGAUUCCCUGAUGUUCUCUUCU